CAGUGAUAGUAAAGCUAUAGAAAAUCAUAAAAGGGAAGUGAUAUAUAAUGGGACUUAGAAAAAUUUCAGCUGUUUCGUUCGUGUACGGAUCUCUAAGAGAAGUGGGAGUUGUUGAACUGAAUUGGAAUACAUUACUAUCAAGUUUUGCAAUUUAUGGGCCUACUCAGAGAGGGAACAACUUAAAUGCAAAUAUUUCAAAGAACACAGAGGCAAAAAGAAACAACAAAUUAUUUUAUACUUGUUGGACACGACAUUGCUUUAUGGUAUCCCAACGUAUGGAAAGUAUGUAAGAAGUUCAAUCGUCUAAAGAGGGUACAACAAAAAAAAAAGAAAAUCACGACGGCGACGUCAUUGUGGAGGCCGACGGGUGGCGGCUUGCGGCAACCCGUCUUCUUGUAGAGCUGCUCGGCGCAAUCGUCGGAUAAUCAGGUCGAUCCUUCUGUGCCGCCAAUGCAGGAACUCCCGAGAAUCGGUGCUGGGCGCUGGUGAAUCGCGGUCGAUGUCUGGUUGGUGUUGAAGUUCGUACGGUGAUACGGCAGGUGUUGAUGCUGGCAUCCCAGCUCUUGCCCCGGGGAUGGUGAUUACGAGGAUGUCUCGUCCGCUUCCGUCCAAUAAAGUCAUUCGACCAUUCCAUCAGUAAAGCGAAUUGGUUUUCUUCGAUUUCUUUGCGGGCGUCGUCCGGUAGCAUUUUGGUGUUCCGGCUUUUCUACUGACAAAUCGUCCUUGGACUCUGUUGGUGGAUUUUCGGACUCGUUAGUGUCGCGUGUGGAGUUGUCAUCGGAAAUUGGAGUGGAAUGACGCUGACUUGUAGCAUCGGCGCAUAUUUCAGCGGAUGGCAACUGAUUUUCUGUAUUUUGAUGAGAUGAAACGGCGACGUUCUCUUGGCUUAACUUUCGCUGACCAAUUUCUUGAGUCGGAAAAUUAGUGUCAAAUGGGAGGGCGUCACUGUCAAAGGUUUCGUCUGGAUUGUCAAUGUCGGGUCCGAUUUCAUUUUCGAAGAUAUCGGUAGUCUGAGUCGCAAUCGAUUUGCGGAAUCGAUUUUCAAAGUCCAAUGAGUUUUCAAUGGAUGGACAAUCUUCAGUCUUCCAAAGCAUUGUUUCGUACAAAGGUUUCAAACGAUUGACGUGGGUACGCUGGCAUACAUAGGAAUUAUCGGCUAUAUCUACUGUAUUAUUGGUAUGUACUUUUACAACUCUAUAAGGACCUUUAUAUUUCGAGGUGAAUUUCCUACUGUCACCUUCUUUAACUACACGAAUAUCUAAUAAAACUCUAUCUCCUACGA